rnacentral:rRNA from 1 species
GGUGAACGCUGGCGGCGUGCUUAAGACAUGCAAGUCGAACGCAGUCUUCGGACUGAGUGGCGCACGGGUGAGUAACACGCAACUGACCUACCCCCAAGUCGCGAAUAACCAGCCGAAAGGAUGGCUAAUACGUGAUGUGAUGAUCCGCUGUGGCGGAUCAUUAAAGACUUGACCGCUUGGGGAUGGGGUUGCGUUCCAUCAGCUAGUUGGUAAGGUAAAGGCUUACCAAGGCAACGACGGAUAGCCGGCCUGAGAGGGUGGCCGGCCACAGGGGCACUGAGACACGGGUCCCACUCCUACGGGAGGCAGCAGUUAGGAAUCUUCCACAAUGGGCGCAAGCCUGAUGGAGCGACGCCGCGUGAGGGAUGAAGGUUCUCGGAUCGUAAACCUCUGAACCAACGACGAAAGACCCGACAAGGGAGAUGACGGUAGUUGGGUAAUAGCACCGGCUAACUCCGUGCCAGCCGCCGCAGUAACAC